rnacentral:rRNA from 1 species
GACGUAGGGGGCCAGCGUUAUCCGGAUUCACUGGGUUUAAAGGGUGUGUAGGCGGAUUUUUAAGUCAGUGGUGAAAUCUCCGGGCUCAACCCGGAAACUGCCAUUGAUACUAUUAGUCUUGAAUUCUGUUGAGGUGGGCGGAAUACAUCAUGUAGCGGUGAAAUGCUUAGAUAUGAUGUAGAACACCGAUUGCGAAGGCAGCUCACUAAGCAGACAUUGACGCUGAGGCACGAAAGCGUGGGGAUCAAACAGG